AUGCUCAUCCAUGACAUACACCUCGACAUCCACUCUGAGGAUGACAUCAUUUGGAAGCACUCUUCGGAUGGCUCAUAUUCGGCAUCCACUGCAUACAAGGCACAAUUUCUGGGUUUGAUGCUUUCCCCCAUGGACUCCAUGGUCUGGAAAAUGUGGGUGCCCCCAAAGGUCAAAUUCUUCUCUUGGAUGGCCUUACAAGAUCGGAUUUGGACCGCCGACAGGCUAGAGCGACGUGGCUGGGACAACUGCGGUCUUUGCCCGCUCUGUAAGCAGGUGCAGGAGUCGGGCGUCCACCUAUUCGCCAAAUGCCGCUUCACCUUGAGGCUUUGGUGGAUUCUCAUUGCAUGCUUACUCAUGAAUUCGCUGUUAAAUCACUACUUCCCUCAACUGCACCUUGGUUGGAAUGGUUAG
rnacentral:rRNA from 1 species